rnacentral:sRNA from 10 species
AUUUGGUCUAUCAGGGAUAAAAGAUGCUUGUAAACACAAUCAGUUACAGACUUCUUUGUUCCAUCUCCACUCCCAAUGCUUUAUUUGACUAGAAUAAA